CCUACGGGUGGCAGCAGUGAGGAAUAUUGGUCAAUGGACGAGAGGCUGAACCAGCCAAGUAGCGUGAAGGAAGACUGCCCUAUGGGUUGUAAACUUCUUUUAUAUGGGAGUAAAAUGUUCCACGUGUGAGACUUUGUAUGUACCAUAUGAAAAAGGAUCGGCUAACUCCGUGCCAGCAGCCGCGGUAAUACGGAGGAUCCGAGCGUUAUCCGGAUUUAUUGGGUUUAAAGGGAGCGUAGAUGGGUUGUUAAGUCAGGUGGGAAAGUUGCGGGCUCAACCGUCAAACUGCAAUUGAUACUGGCAGUCUUGAGUACAGUAGAGGUAGGCGGAAUUCGUGGUGUAGCGGUGAAAUGCUUAGAUAUCACGAAGAACUCCGAUUGCGAAGGCAGCUCACUGGACGGCCACUGACAUUGAUGCUCGAAAGUGUGGGUAUCAAACAGGAUUAGAUACCCCAGUAGUC
rnacentral:rRNA from 1 species